rnacentral:rRNA from 1 species
UGGGGAAUAUUGCACAAUGGGGGAAACCCUGAUGCAGCGACGCCGCGUGAGCGAAGAAGGCUUUCGAGUCGUAAAGCUCUGUCCUAUGAGAAGAUAAUGACGGUAUCAUAGGAGGAAGCCCUGGCUAAAUACGUGCCAGCAGCCGCGGUAAUACGUAUGGGGCGAGCGUUGUCCGGAAUUAUUGGGCGUAAAGGGUACGUAGGUGGUUUUUUAAGUCAGGUGUCAAAGCGUGGGGCUUAACUCCAUUAAGCACUUGAAACUGAAAGACUUGAGUGAAGGAGAGGAAAGUGGAAUUCCUAGUGUAGCGGUGAAAUGCGUAGAUAUUAGGAGGAAUACCGGUGGCGAAGGCGACUUUCUGGACUUUUACUGACGCUCAGGUACGAAAGCGUGGGGAGCAAACAGG